UUCUGGCGUCAGGAGUGAACGCGUAGCUACAGGCUUAACACAUGCAAGUCGAGGGGCGAUCAUGGAGUUGCUGCAAACUCUGAUGGCGACCGGCGCACGGGUGAGUAACGCGUAUCCAACCUUCCCUAUAGUAGAGGAUAGCCCGGCGAAAGUCGGAUUAAUACUCUAUGUUUUCCGUUGCAGACAUCUAAGAUGGAACAAAGGCUUGCCGCUAUAGGAUGGGGAUGCGUCUGAUUAGGUAGUCGGCGGGGUAACGGCCCACCGAGCCAUCGAUCAGUAGGGGUUCUGAGAGGAAGGUCCCCCACAUUGGAACUGAGACACGGUCCAAACUCCUACGGGAGGCAGCAGUGAGGAAUAUUGGUCAAUGGGCGAGAGCCUGAACCAGCCAAGUAAGCGUGCAGGACGACGGCCCUAUGGGUUGUAAACUGCUUUUAUGCGGGGAUAAAGUUCACUACGUGUAGUGUUUUGUAGGUACCGCAUGAAUAAGGACCGGCUAAUUCCGUGCCAGCCGCCGC
rnacentral:rRNA from 1 species